rnacentral:rRNA from 1 species
CUUGGUCAUUUAGAGGAAGUAAAAGUCGUAACAAGGUUUCCGUAGGUGAACCUGCGGAAGGAUCAUUACCGAUUUUUAGCGGACCUGAUCUUUGAUCAUGGUCUCGCGAAAACUUGUAUUUAAAACCCCACUCUUAUAAAUUGAAUCAUUUUAUAUUAUGUAUGUAAUAAAUAAAGAUCACUUUCAACAACGGAUCUCUUGGCUCUCGCAUCGAUGAAGAACGUAGCGAAGUGCGAUAAGUAAUGUGAAUUGCAGAAUUCCGUGAAUCAUCGAAUCUUUGAACGCAAAUGCACUCUCUGGUAACCCGGGGAGUAUGCCUGUUUGAGGGUCAGUGUUAAUAAAAAUCGGUGCGUUGCAAUUUUUGUGAUGUUCCGGAGUUUGAGUUAUCUUAUCUUCUGGGUUUAAGAGGCUUAAAAUUGACCUUCUUUGUGCUUUUUAGACGUACAUAAAUUUUUUUUAUUCGUUUAUCUUAAUGCCAAAAUCUAUUAGAUGCGACCAUAUCGUGUGGUUCCGUGUCUAUAAAUUUUUCAUGAUUGACCUCAAAUCAGUAGGAACACCCGCUGAACUUAAGCAUAUCAAUAAGCGGAGG